UACAUAAAGAUAGGCCAGGGACAUAUGUGUUACCUUGCAAAGCACCACAGGUUUGGCCAUCAUGUUUGCGCCACCUCUCCUAGUUUUCCGGUAGGAACAAAAAAUUAAAAUAUGUCGUCUUUUUUUCGCUACCACCACCAAACCCCAAACAACAUUUAAGAAAACCCAACAGCAUUUAAGAAAGCCCAACAGUACUGAUGCAUUUAUCAUUCCUAUCCUUAUAAUACUAAACUGAAAUCUGAUUCUCUUGGAGGUUUGAAAAUAUUCGAAAAGAUCCAUCUUUGUAAUGCCAUAACGAUUCAUGAGUACAAAAAUCGCCAAAUAGACCAAAAAAUUGCUAGAAUUAGCUCAGUUCAAGUGCUACAACAGGAACCUGCGUAUAUAAAUAUAACCGUAGUUCGAAGAGGUGGGCGCUCACAUCUUUCUCCACUGUCGGCUGUCACCACAGGGCACCACUCCAACCCCUUUGUUAUCAGCAUAUACCUAAAUAUUGGUACAGCCAAAUUUACAAAAUUUAUAUAUAUUGUAUGAUAACAAUAUAGUAUAUUUUUUUUAGGCUAUAAACCAAAGGUGAUUGUCCAAAGUUUAUAUGCUGCUAUCAACUAUCUCUCUAUAUAUAGUGCACGUGCUCAACCAUUUUAUUUUAACUAUACAACUAACGCCUGUUAGCACAAGCGUAGAACAUAAAAUAGCUUGUUUAUCCUCUUGGCAAUAAAUUAAAACAGCGAACCCCAGUUUCUAGUUUUGCGUGUUUCGCUCGAAGAAAAAAAGUAAAUGGAAGUGAAAGCUCAGCCCAUUGCAUGAAUAGCUACUAUAUUAUUGGAAUCUGGAAAUUCUGGCUCACAUAUUGCUUGCCUUCAACCUUCGAAAAUUUAAACUGAAGAGUGGAGCGAUGUGGAAACCUAAGUAGCAGCAAUUUGUUUUCUGCUAACCUCCCUCUCAGAUAUCACUUCCUUCACCAACAAAAUAGAUGUGCACCCACAGGAUAAAAAUCCAUGUGUGUAGACCUAGCAAUGCAUGUGUGAGCUCAGAGUCUCGUUUUUUCGGCAAGGACAUGAAAGGUAACCCUUAACUAACCCUUGACAUCUGGAAGAAUUAAACACUACCUGCUUAUGUGCCCUCACCAACACGCUUCAUACUGAUUUAGGAUGGUCUUGUCUCAGCUAAAUUGUCUUCAUGUUCAUGCUGCAAUUUUCUUUGCCUUUAAACAAUAAAUUGUAGAUGUGGAAACAGUAGAGAAUAGUCUAUAUGCGCACCAAAUGAGGGAAACAGAAGUAUCACCCAUAUGAAAAACGUCACUAUGCGACCAUAAAUUUUCAGGAAAUGAUAGCAUGGUGAGAUUCAUCGUGUAAUAAUGAUUAUAAGCACAUGCAUACAUUUGAACAAACAGAAGAUUAAGAAAGAGGAACAUGCAACAAAAAAAGCUUUAGAAAAGCAGUACUAAUUUCACCUCUGCAACAGAGAAAGUACAAUUAGUUGCCAUUUCCUACUGAUGGCUAAUUGCCUGAAUAAAAAAUGAGCAGUAGGUAUAAUGAUGGUGUUAUUUUCUUCCGCAAGCACCAAAACUUCGCCAAAAACGUAAAAUAUAUUGGGAGCAUUGUACCUUUAUUUUCGCUAUAAUCCUUGCUCUUGCUUCUAGAAUAUAUGAUGGCAAUGCGAGCUAGCCAGCGUCUUCAUAUUAGUCCAUCCAAAAAGCACACCAAAGUUAACAGUUGGAUUGAUUGUAUUAUCUCUGAAACGCCAUUAUCAGAAAUUUAGUUGAUGCUUAAUAGUAAAUAGAAGUGCAGGGCUUGCUUAUCACACUUACUUAGGACUCAUGGGCCUUAUCUAAUUCCCCUCCAAAGCAAACCACCUUUCUAUGCGAAAUGGGCAAAUGUGUAGGCAAAAAUGCUAUAUACCAAAGAGUAUAUGGCAAUCUAAACUGAAGUGCUACUCACAAGAAACCGAAUAUGAUAACAUGUUGUUGCUUGCUCUAAUAAUAAAUAGGGUGUUGGAAAGGAGGGGGGUCUAUUUUAUUAUACAGUUUAGUUUAGUGAUCUGGUAAAAAAUAAGGGCAUGUCCAAACCAGACAUGCGCAAGAGCCUCAAAUCCAUCGGGACACUUUGGUUAGAUCAGAAUGAGCAGAAAUGAAAAAUAGUGGCAAAUUCAGCACAAGGGAAAACAAGUUUUGCAUCUACACAACAGUGAAGCAAGGUAAUGAGCUAAAUUAGUGGACCUAGCACAUAUCUGAUUCACUCUACACUGUAGGCUUACAUAGCAUCACAGUAAUCUCCGGUCACUCAUACGAAACCAAGCAAAUUGAAGACCAAGAUUUGCAUAUGGUAAAUGAAGGAAUGAAGCCAUACGUGCAGGAGAAAUUCGUCGCAUCGUGUUGCAAAACCAGAAAAGUAAAACCAAACCCCCUCUCCUAGAGCCUCUUCCCUAUGAUUUUCUUAGACACCAUGGGAAUGAUGGGGGCAGAAGUUUAGAGCUAGCAUGGAAAGGGACACCAUGGUACAUUGAAAAGGAGAGGCUCUUUGUACAGCAAAACAGCUCAGUGCACUCGGCGGGCAAGGUUGCGGAAGGAGGGUUGCUGCCAUCAGGGUAGGAAUCAACCCUCACCCAAACCCUAUCUGCAUAAGAACAAAAAAAGGAAGGAAUUAAUUAGUGGGAUGAGCUCAGGUCAAAAAAUGAGGAAAGGAGUAAGAAAGGGCUCACCUGUGCUGGUGUCUCCGCCACGAAUUGGGAGCUGUCCUUGACAUCUCCUCUCACUACCGGAAUCGCCCCCUAUGCCGAGGGCCAGGGCCGUCGGCAUAGCCCUUAGACCCGUCGGGAUAGGCCUAUGCCGACGGCCCCCGUCAGCAUAGGGCCGUCGGCAACAUAU
rnacentral:lncRNA from 1 species